GCCGAGUCCGGUGUAGGUGAAGCUGGCCGGCUGCAGCGGCUUCUUUAUCCCCGGCCGGGGCUCCGCUCUGGGAAAGCACGAGGCGGGCUUUGGAAAGGAAGCCCGGCAGCAGCUGGUGGCGGCUCGGGGACAAGGGCAAGGGCGGCGUCCUGCUUUUGGCGCGCCUCAAAGCGCCCAGGUCGGCGUGAAGCGCCUUCCGCCCGCGCUUGCUGCGAUGCGGCUCGGCUUUGGCCGCCAGGACGGGAGGCCUCUUCUGGGGGGCGGGGUGCGGCCGGGGGCUGGCCGGCAUCGCCGCCCCCUCGGCCUUCCGGCGCUCCGCUUCCUCAUCUUCCUCGGACGCCGACGAAGACGCGCCGGAGAAGGACGAUGAGGACGAGCGGUUGUCUUUGGCGGCGGGAGGAACGGGAAGCUGAAGGUGCGAGUGAAGAGCAAUUACCGGAAACUUGCGUGGUCGUCCUCUUGGCCUCUUUCCUUUCUUCUGGAACAAAAGGUCUCGCUCUUGUUCCCUAAGAGGACACCAUUGAAUCAAUGUCUCACGUACGACGACGACGUCACAUUAGUUUCCGAGAACGACGGAUGGAACCUUUUGUGAAAAGCUGCCAGUAACCUCGGGUCCAAAAUAUUCUCCUCUGGCUCCCAACUGUUGUGCCUAAAACGACAAGAGCCAGCGCAACAUAUCAAAACGGAUCGUCGGUUUUGUCGAAAGGAUGUUUCAACGACAACGCCAAUCGAGAAUGUGCAUGCAAGUUGCGGGUCUAAUUUCUGUCCACUUGGGGUCGCCAUCCUCACGUUCGACACGGCUGGAUUUGCGACUCGGGAUGGGUCCUCGGGUUGACAUUUGGGCUCACGUUGGGCUCUUUCACUAUUUGCCGUUGAAUUGGUGCUCAUGCACUUGCGGUCGCUUCGAGUCGAUGUGCAUUUUGUUGCCUUGUUCUUGUGACUGGUGUCAAUAAAGUUGAAUGAUAUUGAAAGACGCUCCGGUACGUAACAAGCCAGUCAUAACAAAACAACACAAUGCACAGGAAACGGCAACAACACAACAAAAGCGAACGAAAAAGACAGAGCAUACAGGAAAACGUCAUCAUUUUUAGUUUUGUAAAGUCGCUCUUCUUGCUUUUUGUCGUUUUACCCUAGCAAAAGAGGAACAAUAUGAAGCGUAAAGUCAUGCA